rnacentral:rRNA from 1 species
GACGAACGCUGGCGGCGUGCUUAACACAUGCAAGUCGAACGGAAAGGUCCUGCUUUUGUGGGGUGCUCGAGUGGCGAACGGGUGAGUAACACGUGAGUAACCUGCCCUUGACUUUGGGAUAACUUCAGGAAACUGGGGCUAAUACCGGAUAGGAGCUCCUGCUGCAUGGUGGGGGUUGGAAAGUUUCGGCGGUUGGGGAUGGACUCGCGGCUUAUCAGCUUGUUGGUGGGGUAGCGGCUUACCAAGGCUUUGACGGGUAGCCGGCCUGAGAGGGUGACCGGCCACAUUGGGACUGAGAUACGGCCCAGACUCCUACGGGAGGCAGCAGUGGGGAAUAUUGCACAAUGGGCGGAAGCCUGAUGCAGCAACGCCGCGUGCGGGAUGACGGCCUUCGGGUUGUAAACCGCUUUCGCCUGUGACGAAGCGUGAGUGACGGUAAUGGGUAAAGAAGCACCGGCUAACUACGUG